GUCCUUUCGGAGACAUUCGAUAAAGUUGGAACGAUACAGAGAAGAUUAACAUGGCCCUUGAACAAGGAUGACAUGCAUAAAUCGAAAAAUAUCCCAAUUUUUU
rnacentral:snRNA from 2 species